ACAUACGGCCAUAUCUACUUGAGUACGCUGGAUCCCGUCCGAUCUCCUUGGAUAACCUGGCGAGCGCUGGAUUAGUAGUUGGGUCGGUGACGACCAGCGAAUACCCGGUGUUGUAUGUU
rfam:Hirsutella minnesotensis 3608 unplaced genomic scaffold MNSD_Scf_40, whole genome shotgun sequence.